rnacentral:lncRNA from 1 species
AUUGAACUCAGGGGCACUCACUGUAAGGCACAUCCCCAGUCCUAUUUUGUAUUUUAUUUAUAGAGGCAGGGUCUCACUGAGUUUUUCUUAGUACCUCGCUUUUGCUGAGGCCGGCUUUGAACUUGUGAUCCUGUGCUUCAGCCUCCUGAGCUGCUGGGAUUACAGGCAUGUGCUACCACGUCCAGCUCAGUUUUUCUUUUUAAGAAACUAAAAAUGGAAGACUAAAUUAAACCCCCAGAGCAAGUAGAAGGAAAAAAAAAAAUUAAAACGAAACUUGAAUCAGUAAACUUAAGCAUGAAACAGAAAGAGAAAAUAAAUUGUGCAAAUAAUAGCUAAUUCCAGUAAAUGACCAGAGAAAUUGAAAUAGUUAUUGCCAGGCUACCAAGAAAAGAUGAAUGACAAAUGUCAAGAGUAAAAGGUUAUCAUUGAUGAGGGCUAUCAUUAAAUCCCCAAAUUCUAAGAAGGUACAAAUGGAAUAUUUUGAACAAUUUAUCUCCACAAAUUUGAUGAAAAGAACAAUUUCAUGAAGAUCACAAACUGCUGCCUAUUUAAAAAGUAGGUUAUCUGAAUCCUAUAUAUGUUUAAGAAAUUUACUUAGUAGAUAAGUUUUCACAUAAGGAAAACUCAAUAGUUUUCCCAUAUUGUUUCACUGGUGAAUUCUGCCAAACAAUAAAGGAAGAAAGUACAGUACGAAUCCAGCAUAUAAGACCAUUCAAGAAAACUACAAAUUACUACUUUUCAUGAAUAUGAAAAAAUCAUUUUGUCAAGUGUGAUUUAUUUUGGGAAAUACUGACUAUUUGAGCCUUUGAAAAUCAUUGUAAUCAAGUAUAACAAUAAAGAAAAAGCAUGUGAUCAUCUUAAUUAGUGAAGAAGAGAUGGUAUUUGACAAGAUUAAAUAUCUACUUAUAACAAAAACUCAGGAAACCAGGAAUGAUACAGACCCUUAAACUACCAGUGUCUAUAGAACCUAUCUUCAUUUUGAUGGUGAAAUAUUGAAUAAUGAAAGUCUUUCUCCUAAAGUUGUAAACAAGGAAAGGAGGUACAAACUCUAGAUUCCUGUUCAGCCUCUCACUAGCAGUAUGGCCAGUGAAAUGAAAAAAGAAGAAAGUAUAAAAAUUAAGAAUGAAAUAAAGUUGUUCUUAGAGAUGGCAUGAUUUGGAUGUAGCAAAUACCUAAAAAUUAGCAAAAUGGCUCCUACAAACAAUAAGUGAGUUAAGGUGUAUGUGAACAAUCAAUUGUACUGUAUAUUUUCAAUAAACAACCAGAAAUUUAAUUUCCUUUUCAAUAUUACUUCUCAUGAUGCCAAGUCUAAGAAAGAAUUGGGUGUAUAUCACUGAAAUAUGUGCUAGGCCUGAAUGUUGGAAAAUCCUUGCCAAUUUUUUAUGGAAAGAUGUAUACCCUAGCUGGGUAAGAAGAUUUGUUAAGAUGUCCACUCUUCCCCCACUUGGUUCAUUCUCUUUAAAAAAAUCCCUGCAGAAUAUUUUGUUGAUGUUGCCAGGUUAACUCAGAUUUGGUUGGUUUAAAGCAACAGAACUAGCAGAACCACCAGGUUUGAAAACACAGACAAAACCGGAUGGCUUAUAUUACAAAUCCAAAACUUAUUUUAAAGAUACUCAAGAUAGUGUGGUAUUGACAAAAUAAAAGACACAUAAAUCAUUGAAACAAAAGAUCAGCAAUGGGCUCACACACGGCCAAUUAAAUUUUGACAAAGGGAGAAACCAAUUCAGUGGAGAAAAGAUAGUUCUUUUCAAUAUUUAAGAGAAAAAUCUAACACCUGUAUGAAAUAAUAAGGAAGACCUCAACACAUUUCUCUCACUUUAGGUCUAUGGAUCAUAGACGUAAAUGUAAAAUGUAAACUCUGAAGUCCCUGUG